rnacentral:rRNA from 1 species
ACGGAAGGCAGCAGUGAGGAAUAUUGGUCAAUGGACGGAAGUCUGAACCAGCCAAGUAGCGUGAGGGAUGACUGCCCUAUGGGUUGUAAACCUCUUUUGUCGGGGAAUAAAGUGUGCCAUGUAUGGUAUUUUGCAUGUACCCGUCGAAUAAGGAUCGGCUAACUCCGUGCCAGCAGCCGCGGUAAUACGGAGGAUCCGAGCGUUAUCCGGAUUUAUUGGGUUUAAAGGGAGCGUAGGCGGAAGGUCAAGUCAGCUGUGAAAUGUAGUCGCUCAACGUCUGCACUGCAGUUGAAACUGGCCUCCUUGAGUGCGUAAGAGGCGGGCGGAAUUCGUCGUGUAGCGGUGAAAUGCUUAGAUAUGACGAAGAACUCCGAUUGCGAAGGCAGCUCGCUGGGCCGCAACUGACGCUGAGGCUCGAAAGCGUGGGGAGCAAACAGGAUUAGAUACCCUGGUA